rnacentral:rRNA from 1 species
GUUGUGGAAAGCUUUUGCGGUAUGGGAUGAGCUCGCGGCCUAUCAGCUUGUUGGUGGGGUAAUGGCCUACCAAGGCGUCGACGGGUAGCCGGCCUGAGAGGGUGUACGGCCACAUUGGGACUGAGAUACGGCCCAGACUCCUACGGGAGGCAGCAGUGGGGAAUAUUGCACAAUGGGCGCAAGCCUGAUGCAGCGACGCCGCGUGGGGGAUGACGGCCUUCGGGUUGUAAACUCCUUUCGCAA